AUACUCUCUACAACCUCUACAAACACUACAUCACAAUACACACACACACACUAUAGCCUGUAUGCACACACUCUUGCUACAUCCCCUAUACACACAUUCUCUACAGCCCCUAGCCACAUAUGCAUCACAUUACACCACAAACACAACACGACUAAAACCGACCUUAUUACACAAUUCCACACCACAAUCAGCUCACUCUACACACAUGCAAUUCCACGGGCAGGCUCCAAACACAUGCAAAAUACUCUUUCCUGGCCCUUUUGUCUCCUGGUAUCCAUUUAUAGAGAGAC